UCCUAGCACCUGACUGAGACGGAUGCAGAUACCCAUGAAAGAACCUAGUGGGGAAACCCCCACUCAGCUCCCGAUUUGGCGUGCACCCAAGAAUCACAAAUAGAACA
rnacentral:pre_miRNA from 7 species